AUAAUUGGCCGGGAAUCGAACCCGGGCCGCCCGUGUGGCAGGCGAGCAUUCUACCACUGAACCACCGAUGGUUA